GGGGGCUUUUGGUUUAGUGGUUAUACUUUAUCACGUUAUCAGCACCAUUGCUCUGAAGGUCGUGGGUUCAAUUCCCAGUCAGACCACCA